UACGUAGGGGGCUAGCGUUGUCCGGAAUCAUUGGGCGUAAAGCGCGCGUAGGCGGCCAGAUAAGUCCGGUGUGAAAGCCACAGGCUCAACCUGUGAAUGCCGCUGGAAACUGUCUGGCUAGAGUCCGGGAGGGAGACUGGAAUUCCUGGUGUAGCGGUGAAAUGCGCAGAUAUCAGGAGGAACACCGGUGGCGAAGGCGGGUCUCUGGGCCGAUACUGACGCUGAGGAGCGAAAGCGUGGGGAGCGAACAGG
rnacentral:rRNA from 1 species